ACGAACGCUGGCGGCGUGCUUAACACCUGCAAGUCGAACGGAAAGGCCCUGCUUUUGUGGGGUGCUCGAGUGGCGAACGGGUGAGUAACACGUGAGUAACCUGCCCUUGACUUUGGGAUAACUUCAGGAAACUGGGGCUAAUACCGGAUAGGAGCUCCUGCUGCAUGGUGGGGGUUGGAAAGUUUCGGCGGUUGGGGAUGGACUCGCGGCUUAUCAGCUUGUUGGUGGGGUAGUGGCUUACCAAGGCUUUGACGGGUAGCCGGCCUGAGAAGGUGACCGGCCACAUUGGGACUGAGAUACGGCCCAGACUCCUACGGGAGGCAGCAGUGGGGAAUAUUGCACAAUGGGCGGAAGCCUGAUGCAGCAACGCCGCGUGCGGGAUGACGGCCUUCGGGUUGUAAACCGCUUUCGCCUGUGACGAAGCGUGAGUGACGGUAAUGGGUAAAGAAGCACCGGCUAACUACGUG
rnacentral:rRNA from 1 species